AAUGAACGCUGGCGGCAGGCUUAACACAUGCAAGUCGAACGCCCCGCAAGGGGAGUGGCAGACGGGUGAGUAACGCGUGGGAACAUACCCUUUUCUACGGAAUAGCUCUGGGAAACUGGAAUUAAUACCGUAUACGCCCUACGGUGGAAAGAUUUAUCGGGGAAGGAUUGGCCCGCGUUGGAUUAGCUAGUUGGUGGGGUAAAGGACUACCAAGGCGACGAUCCAUAGCUGGUCUGAGAGGAUGAUCAGCCACAUUGGGACUGAGACACGGCCCAAACUCCUACGGGAGGCAGCAGAGGGGGAUAUUGGACAAUGGGCGCAAGCCUGAUCCAGCCAUGCCGCGUGAGUGAUGAAGGCCUUAGGGAUGUAAAGCUCUAUCACCGAUGAAGAUAAUGACGGUAGUCGGAGAAGAAGCCCCGGCUAACUUCGUG
rnacentral:rRNA from 1 species